CCACUGCUGAGGAGUCCCACAAUAGGACGAAACGGCCGUCCAGUGU
rnacentral:hammerhead_ribozyme from 1 species